rnacentral:rRNA from 1 species
GGCUCCGCAAACCAGUUGUAAACUAGAGCAAGCAAGUCUGGCGGGCUUCGGCCUCCAGACGAUAUGGAUAACCCCGGUAAUUCUGAGGCUAAUACAUGACUAAAAGCUGACCCAGCAAUGGGCCAUGCUCAAGAGCAAUAACACCACGGCGGUUUUGCUAAUCAAUUUUCGAUGCGAAUACACCCUUGAGUCGACCGUCAUAAAAAAGCGCCGCUGGGAUCGAGGCUUUCUGCUGCGAGGUGGAGGCUGAGUGAAAGGUGGUGUGGCGGCCGGGUUGAGUGGCUCCUGACCUAUCAUACUAGAAGCUGGGGUAAUGCCCCAGCUUGGUCGCAACGGGUACAGAGGAUUAGGGUUCGAU